UCGAGUAUACUUUCGGGGAUCAGCUCUACAGUUCAUUACUAGAGAAGUUUCUCAGACUCUGUAGAGCACCCGAAAACAUGAGGGGAGCCAGAGGAUAGUCUCCUGAGUAUGGAACCUGUUCUAGGUGUUGCCUUUGCAGCUCCCUUUUUCCAUUGAUGAUCAUUCUUCUCUUCCCUAGGAGAGGGAGAGGAUGCAGUCUGUUUUGU